GGGCCCCUCUCGGGUUACCGAAUUCAGACAAACUCCGAAUGCCAAUUAAUUUAACUUGGGAGUCAGAACAUGGGUGAUAAGGUCCGUGUUCGAAAGGGAAACAGCCCAGACCACCAGCUAAGGUCCCAAAAUAUAUGUUAAGUGGAAAAGGAUGUGGCGUUGCCCAGACAACUAGGAUGUUGGCUUAGAAGCAGCCAUCAUUUAAAGAGUGCGUAAUAGCUCACUAGUCGAGUGACACUGCGCCGAAAAUGUACCGGGGCUAAACAUAUUACCGAAGCUGUGGAUUGUCCUUUGGACAAUGGUAGGAGAGCGUUCUAAGGGCGUUGAAGCAUGAUCGUAAGGACAUGUGGAGCGCUUAGAAGUGAGAAUGCCGGUGUGAGUAGCGAAAGACGGGUGAGAAUCCCGUCCACCGAUUGACUAAGGUUUCCAGAGGAAGGCUCGUCCGCUCUGGGUUAGUCGGGUCCUAAGCUGAGGCCGACAGGCGUAGGCGAUGGAUAACAGGUUGAUAUUCCUGUACCACCUAUAAUCGUUUUAAUCGAUGGGGGGACGCAGUAGGAUAGGCGAAGCGUGCGAUUGGAUUGCACGUCUAAGCAGUAAGGCUGAGUAUUAGGCAAAUCCGGUACUCGUUAAGGCUGAGC
rnacentral:rRNA from 1 species